AGUGAACGCUGGCGGUAGGCCUAACACAUGCAAGUCGAACGGCAGCACAGUAAGAGCUUGCUCUUACGGGUGGCGAGUGGCGGACGGGUGAGGAAUACAUCGGAAUCUACUUUUUCGUGGGGGAUAACGUAGGGAAACUUACGCUAAUACCGCAUACGACCUACGGGUGAAAGCAGGGGAUCUUCGGACCUUGCGCGAUUGAACGAGCCGAUGUGGGAUUAGUUAGUUGGCGGGGUAAAGGCCCACCAAGGCGACGAUCCGUAGCUGGUCUGAGAGGAUGGUCGGCCACACUGGAGCGGAGACACGGUCCAGACUCCUACGGGAGGGAGCAGUGGGGAAUGUUGGACAAUGGGCGCAAGCCUGAUCCAGCCAUACCACGUGGGUGAAAGAGGCCUUCGGGUUGUAAAGCCCUUUUGUUGGGAGAGAAAAGCAGCAGGUUAAGACCCCGCUGUUCUGACGGUACCCAAAGAAUAAGCACCGGCUAACUUCGUG
rnacentral:rRNA from 1 species